ACAUGAUCUGGGCUGUACUGCAAAAGAAAACGGAUCAUUGUGUAGUGUCUUCUACAUUAAAAAAAACAAAUCAGCCAUAGUAUAUGAUACAAAUAGUGCAUACUCCUAUAUAUGUCUACUGAGAAGAAAGCACCACUGAGCUCAACAGGACUUACUUUUGGGUAAAUACAUAUACAGCUGAAUUCUCCAUUCAAGGUUGUCAGCAUGUUUGCUGAAAUACACAUCAACAUAUGAAAUGUAAACAUCCUGAUGUUUACAAGCAUACACAACUAAAUGCUUUUCUGCAUUUGCGUUUUUGAUUUUGCCUUGCUCCCUAGAGGAUAUCUGCAGAGAUCUAUUUUUACAACGCAGGUGCUAGUCCACAUGGAAUGGCUGAGGAUGCACUAAUAAUUUAAUUCCCUUAAAGUAGCUCAUUAGCCAAAGCAAGGAUAAAAUUACACUGCCAAGCCCACACAAAUCUCAUGCUUCUAAUUUUAUCUGAAGGGACCAGCCAUGAUUCAGCGUGUUUGGGAUGGCAAAUGGAUCCUUUAAGAACAUUAAAAGAAUGUGAAAUAAAGUUUGCUUUAUUUCUACAUGUCAGAAUACAGAAAGGAGAUGGUUGAAGUUUAAUGCAUUUCCUAUAUAAUUUUCAUCAAUACGUGGCUGUGAUAAUGUACAUACUGAUUUAUCACAGCUUCGCUAGUUUCAUUUCCUGGAGGGUGGAAGAAGCAACAAGGGGAUCAUCUAGCUUGGACCUGGUGCUCACCAACAGGGAGGAGUUGAUUAACGAAGUGAACUCAAUGUGGCAUACACAGCUCGGUCACCCUCAUCAUUUAAUCCCCUGGGAACUCUCUCCUCGAAGGAACAGCAGUUAGAGGGACCAGCGGUUCACCACCUCUGUAUUGAGAGACCUGGGGAAAUUCUCCUAAUCAGAGGAUUGGUCAGCUCUGCGCAAGGCUUCGUUCAAUGAAAGGCCAAGCCACCAAUGAAGGACAAGCUGGAGAUGGACGCCGGAAGCGUCGCUGGAAGAAAGAGCCAAAGACUUGAGUUGAGAGUCGCUCACGGAAUAUCGCUUGCGGGCUAAGUUGCAGGAAGGCAUUCUACUUAGUUAUUUUGUAAAAUGUGCACACCACUUGAUUGUAAAACAAAACAAAAACAAACGCUCAAAGCGGGUUUACAGAAA